UACGAAGGGGGCUAGCGUUGUUCGGAUUUACUGGGCGUAAAGCGCACGUAGGCGGAUCGAUCAGUCAGGGGUGAAAUCCCAGGGCUCAACCCUGGAACUGCCUUUGAUACUGUCGAUCUGGAGUAUGGAAGAGGUGAGUGGAAUUCCGAGUGUAGAGGUGAAAUUCGUAGAUAUUCGCAAGAACACCAGUGGCGAAGGCGGCUCACUGGCCCGGUACUGACGCUGAGGUGCGAAAGCGUGGGGAGCAAACAGG
rnacentral:rRNA from 1 species